rnacentral:rRNA from 1 species
UACGUAGGUGGCAAGCGUUGUCCGGAUUUACUGGGCGUAAAGAGCGCGCAGGCGGUCGUUCAAGUCGCGUGUGAAAGCCCCCGGCUCAACUGGGGAGGGUCACGCGAUACUGAUCGACUCGAAGGCAGGAGAGGGAAGUGGAAUUCCCGGUGUAGUGGUGAAAUGCGUAGAUAUCGGGAGGAACACCAGUGGCGAAAGCGGCUUCCUGGUCCAGCACCGACGUUCAGGCACGAAAGCGUGGGGAGCAAACAGG